UUACUACUCCCUCCGUUCAGAAUUACUUGUCGCAGAAAUAGAUGUAUCUAGACGUAUUUUAGUUUUAGAUACAUCCAUUUCCGAGACAAGUAAUUCCGAACGGAGGGAGUACGUA
rnacentral:pre_miRNA from 1 species